AUGAUUGGUCAGCCAGAGAGACAAAAGGCAGGGAGAUGUGGAGUCUUCAAUACAUCCUGCAGUGAGACUAUUGGGCCGAUCUUGAUGACCUAAUUUUGCUGAUGUUUACCAGAAUUGGCUGUGCACAGCUUCAGAUUCCCAGGCUGGGAAAUGUACUCAGGUUGCUCCUGACUCAGCAGAAUUCCCAAUUCCUGUUUCGUCCACCACCACACUGAAGACAGUUGGUCAGCC